rnacentral:lncRNA from 1 species
GGGCAAAGUACAGCGCACGCGGACCACGCUGCUGGACUCAACAAUGUAAAUACCCGCGUCUAACCCCUAGAGAGGAAAGAGGCAGGUCUAAAUGGAGGCCUGAAGUCAGUCAGCCCUGGAGAUACACUUGACCAAUCGAUAUGCUGUUGCCAGCAAUGCAGGUGAUACACACACACCCCCUUACGCCUGCCACCCUUUGCUGGGACUCCCAACUGCAUGAGGCACAGAAGAAUAGGCAGGGAGGGAAUUACUCCUUAUACAGCAGACGAGAGGCGGCUCCUCGAGUCACACCAGGACAGAGGCAAUCAGGAGAGACCCUUCCCAUAUCCGCUCCCUAAAGCCUGCAAACGCGCAGUAUCAGCAUCUGACAAAAUGAGAGCAGAGAGAUUUUAAUCUAAACUAGUGCUCGUGAGAACUCCAAUGUGGUGACUUUGCCACAUCCUGGUUUUAUUUUUCAUCUUUCAGGCUCAACGAGGAUACUGAAAGUCAUGGACUUUCCCACAUUUCUACUUCUGAGCCACAGACCACAUGGACUCCCCAGUUUCCUCCCUCUGCUCUGGCUCAGAAGCUAAGACUCUGCAUCUGCCUUCACACCAGUUUGUUUGCAUAGUUUUGUCUGGUUGAAAAACGUCUUUGUAUUUUCCACAAGCUGAGUUCUUGGCAACGGCAUCUCUUGCUGAGAAUGGGAUUGAAAAUCAUGAGGCAGAGAAAGCCCUUGACCAUGGACCAUUUGAGUUUAUAGGACUCGGGGUCUGGGCACCUGCUUCAAAGGCAGCAGUGGAAGCCAGGGAGGAGGCCGGGCAAGUGCACGGACUGUGGCAGACACCAGCGAGGAACAGCCUGGGACCUGGAGUGGCUGGUGGGCUGCUUCAGCUCACAUAUCCACAAGCAAAAAGCAGUGACUCAUGGAAGACAGGGUCGCAGUUUGAAUGUAUGUGUCCCAACAGCCUGCUGUUCCUGCGGAGUGGAAGCCUGCUUAAUUUCUCUCUGAGGACGGCACAGAGGAUCUCCUUGGAUAGGGGCUGUGGCAAUGCAGGAUCCUUAACCCACUGAGUGAGGCCAGGGAUCGAACCUGCAUCCUCACCAAGUCUAUGUCAGGUUCUUAACCUGCUAAGCUACAGUGGGAACGCCCUCCUCUUGAAUUCUUUGCACCAUUUCCGGGUCACUUAUAAGACCUAAUGCGAUGUAAAUGCUGUGUAAGCAGCUGUGAACACAAGGUAAAUGUCAUAUAUACGGUUGCCGGCGUGCCGCGAAUUCAAUUAGGCUUGCCUGGAACUUUCUGGGAGUUUAAAAAAAAAUGUUCCGUUGGUGGUUGGUUGAAUCUGCAGAUGCAGAACCACAGAGAUGAGGGCCAGCUGUACGGUCCAUAAUGUUAUCGGAUGAGAAGGUCAAGAUCCAAGACACGCAUUUGAGACGACGUCUCCAGAAGGCCAUUCAUCACGUGGCACUUGUCCAAAUUGUAGUCAUUUUUCAGCCUCUGGCAACAACCCGCCUUGUAAUUCAGACCACUGAGCUUGGCGGUUCAUUUGCUGGAGGUCAUCAGUGCCAUCGGAGCCGGCCCUGAAGGAAGGUCCCCCCCCCUGAACACUAUGCGAGCGCGUCUUCCGACCCACCAGCAUCGGAAAGGUCAACUGCCUCUCCAGCCGGACGUCGGUCUCUGCUGAUGAAAGAGGCCUUCUGCUGGACCCCACACCUUCCAUCCGGCGCUCCUUUCAUCCUCUGUCAUCCCCAGAAUUUAUGGUCUGUCCGUUGUGGCCCCACACUGGGUGCUUUCCUGGCCCCUCUCUUGGGCUGACUCCUCAUUUUUUAGAAGCUGUUUUUUCUGUCUUCUCUGAUGACCAGCUGCCUCUGCCAGCUGCCCACAGGGCUGUUAUCCAAACACCUGGCUGUUCUGAUCUGCACACAUUUUUCCAGGGCUUGUAAUCGGGCAUUUAAAAAAUAGCGGUCAGACGUUCCUUUCCAUUCUCUCUUCUCAGGGACUAAGCCAAGUGCCCCUCUGUGUCCUUUAGGAAGAUCAAAUCCACAAAGAACCGCCUCCAACUCAAGAAGAAGAGACUACUGAUCAGACUCCGGGCAUCCCACUUUCGGGAUUUUCUUCCACCUGAAUUUCAGGGACCUUAUGAUAGUCUUUCUCUGCCUACGAUCUUCUGUGAAAUGAACGUCACACUUUCUCAGCAGCCAAAGGCGCCGGUGAUCCUUCGUGUCAUGCGAUGUGAGCUUCCUUUCCGGCCCAGGCGUGGUGCUAGGAGCUGGGAAUAAACCAGACGUGGCCUUGGCUCGCA